CGCGGUAGAGGAGCGUUCUGUAAGCCUGUGAAGGUGAGUUGAGAAGCUUGCUGGAGGUAUCAGAAGUGCGAAUGCUGACAUGAGUAACGACAAUGGGUGUGAAAAACACCCACGCCGAAAGACCAAGGGUUCCUGCGCAACGUUAAUCGACGCAGGGUUAGUCGGUUCCUAAGGCGAGGCUGAAAAGCGUAGUCGAUGGGAAACAGGUUAAUAUUCCUGUACUUCUGGUUACUGCGAUGGAGGGACGGAGAAGGCUAGGCCAGCUUGGCGUUGGUUGUCCAAGUUUAAGGUGGUAGGCUGAAAUCUUAGGUAAAUCCGGGGUUUCAAGGCCGAGAGCUGAUGACGAGUCGUCUUUUAGAUGACGAAGUGGUUGAUGCCAUGCUUCCAAGAAAAGCUUCUAAGCUUCAGGUAACCAGGAACCGUACCCCAAACCGACACAGGUGGUCGGGUAGAGAAUACCAAGGCGCUUGAGAGAACUCGGGUGAAGGAACUAGGCAAAAUGGCACCGUAACUUCGGGAGAAGGUGCGCCGGCUAGGGUGAAGGAUUUACUCCGUAAGCUCUGGCUGGUCGAAGAUACCAGGCCGCUGCGACUGUUUAUUAAAAACACAGCACUCUGCAAACACGAAAGUGGACGUAUAGGGUGUGACGCCUGCCCGGUGCCGGAAGGUUAAUUGAUGGGGUUAGCGCAAGCGAAGCUCUUGAUCGAAGCCCCGGUAAACGGCGGCCGUAACUAUAACGGUCCUAAGGUAGCGAAAUUCCUUGUCGGGUAAGUUCCGACCUGCACGAAUGGCGUAACGAUGGCGGCGCUGUCUCCACCCGAGACUCAGUGAAAUUGAAAUCGCUGUGAAGAUGCAGUGUAUCCGCGGCUAGACGGAAAGACCCCGUGAACCUUUACUGUAGCUUUGCACUGGACUUUGAGCCUGCUUGUGUAGGAUAGGUGGGAGGCUUUGAAGCGUGGACGCCAGUUCGCGUGGAGCCAUCCUUGAAAUACCACCCUGGCAUGCUUGAGGUUCUAACUCUGGUCCGUAAUCCGGAUCGAGGACAGUGUAUGGUGGGCAGUUUGACUGGGGCGGUCUCCUCCUAAAGAGUAACGGAGGAGUACGAAGGUGCGCUCAGACCGGUCGGAAAUCGGUCGCAGAGUAUAAAGGCAAAAGCGCGCUUGACUGCGAGACAGACACGUCGAGCAGGUACGAAAGUAGGUCUUAGUGAUCCGGUGGUUCUGUAUGGAAGGGCCAUCGCUCAACGGAUAAAAGGUACUCCGGGGAUAACAGGCUGAUACCGCCCAAGAGUUCAUAUCGACGGCGGUGUUUGGCACCUCGAUGUCGGCUCAUCACAUCCUGGGGCUGAAGCCGGUCCCAAGGGUAUGGCUGUUCGCCAUUUAAAGUGGUACGCGAGCUGGGUUUAGAACGUCGUGAGACAGUUCGGUCCCUAUCUGCCGUGGACGUUUGAGAUUUGAGAGGGGCUGCUCCUAGUACGAGAGGACCGGAGUGGACGAACCUCUGGUGUUCCGGUUGUCACGCCAGUGGCAUUGCCGGGUAGCUAUGUUCGGAAAAGAUAACCGCUGAAAGCAUCUAAGCGGGAAACUUGCCUCAAGAUGAGAUCUCACUGGGAACUUGAUUCCCCUGAAGGGCCGUCGAAGACUACGACGUUGAUAGGCUGGGUGUGUAAGCGUUGUGAGGCGUUGAGCUAACCAGUACUAAUUGCCCGUGAGGCUUGACCAU
rnacentral:rRNA from 1 species